GUAUUUUAAGAGAUUUGAAACUGUUCCUGGUAUGUUAAACACAUAUAAAUCUGAGAUUGAACAAAACAGAGUUUCAUUUAUUUUAAGAUCUACUAUUAUAUAUCAUACCAACGCAGUGGCGGAUGCAGGAAUUUUCGAAAGGGGGGGUGCUAGCCCAGGGCAAAGGGGGGGUGCAGGGGGGGUGCAAACAUAUGUCCCGAUUCAAAUGCAUUGAUCGGCCAAAAUAAAGGGGGGUGCGGACCCCCGGAACCCCCCCCCUCUGGAUCCGCCACUGCAACGUUUUU
rnacentral:lncRNA from 1 species